UUAAAUUGAAGAGUUUGAUCAUGGCUCAGAUUGAACGCUGGCGGCAGGCCUAACACAUGCAAGUCGAACGGUAGCACGGAGCAGCUUGCUGCUUGGCUGACGAGUGGCGGACGGGUGAGUAAUGUCUGGGAAACUGCCUGAUGGAGGGGGAUAACUACUGGAAACGGUGGCUAAUACCGCAUAACGUCGCAAGACCAAAGAGGGGGACCUUCGGGCCUCUUGCCAUCAGAUGUGCCCAGAUGGGAUUAGCU
rnacentral:rRNA from 1 species